AGCAGCCGCGGUAAUCCCAGCUCCAAUAGCGUAUAUUAAAGUUGUUGCAGUUAAAAAGCUCGUAGUUGAAUUUCGGAAUUUGUCGGUUGGUCGGGCUUCACUGUCCGCACUGGCCUGAUGGAUUCCUACCUUCUGAACAACCAGCAUGCUAUUAAGUUAGUGCGUUGGGGAAGCAGAGCUAUUACCUUGAAAAAAUUAGAGUGCUUAAAGCAGGCUUGUGCUUGAAUAGAUUAGCAUGGAAUAAUAAAAUAGGACGGCAUGGUUCUAUUUUGUUGGUUUCUAGGAUCACCGUAAUGAUUAAUAGGGAUAGUUGGGGGCAUUAGUAUUCAAUUGUCAGAGGUGAAAUUCUUGGAUUUAUUGAAGACUAACUUCUGCGAAAGCAUUUGCCAAGGAUGUUUUCAUUAAUCAAGAACGAAAGUUAGGGGAUCGAAGACGAUCAGAUACCGUCGUAGUCUUAAACCAUAAACUAUGCCGACUAGGGAUCGGACGAUGUUAAUUUUUUAAUGACUCGUUCGGCG
rnacentral:rRNA from 1 species